UAGGGAAUCUUCGGCAAUGGGGGGAACCCUGACCGAGCAACGCCGCGUGAGUGAAGAAGGUUUUCGGAUCGUAAAGCUCUGUUGUUAAGGAAGAACGAGUGCGAGAAUGGAAAGUUCAUACUGUGACGGUACUUAACCAGAAAGGGACGGCUAACUACGUGCCAGCAGCCGCGGUAAUACGUAGGUCCCGAGCGUUGUCCGGAUUUAUUGGGCGUAAAGCGAGCGCAGGCGGUUAGAUAAGUCUGAAGGUAAAGGCAGUGGCUCAACCAUUGUAGGCUUUGGAAACUGUUUAACUUAAGUGCAGAAGGGGAGAGUGGAAUUCCAUGUGUAGCGGUGAAAUGCGUAGAUAUAUGGAGGAACACCGGUGGCGAAGGCGGCUCUCUGGUCUGUAACUAACGCUGAGGCUCGAAAGCGUGGGGAGCGAACAGG
rnacentral:rRNA from 1 species